rnacentral:rRNA from 1 species
AUCUGCAGGCAGCGAAGACGAGGAGCUUGCUCCUCAUGACGUUAGCGGCGGACGGGAGAGUAACACGUGGAUAACCUACCUAUAAGACUGGGAUAACUUCGGGAAACCGGAGCUAAUACCGGAUAAUAUAUUGAACCGCAUGGUUCAAUAGUGAAAGACGGUUUUGCUGUCACUUAUAGAUGGAUCCGCGCCGCAUUAGCUAGUUGGUAAGGUAACGGCUUACCAAGGCAACGAUGCGUAGCCGACCUGAGAGGGUGAUCGGCCACACUGGAACUGAGACACGGUCCAGACUCCUACGGGAGGCAGCAGUAGGGAAUCUUCCGCAAUGGGCGAAAGCCUGACGGAGCAACGCCGCGUGAGUGAUGAAGGUCUUCGGAUCGUAAAACUCUGUUAUUAGGGAAGAACAAAUGUGUAAGUAACUAUGCACGUCUUGACGGUACCUAAUCAGAAAGCCACGGCUAACUACGUGCCAGCAGCCGCGGUAAUACGUAGGUGGCAAGCGUUAUCCGGAAUUAUUGGGCGUAAAGCGCGCGUAGGCGGUUUUUUAAGUCUGAUGUGAAAGCCCACGGCUCAACCGUGGAGGGUCAUUGGAAACUGGAAAACUUGAGUGCAGAAGAGGAAAGUGGAAUUCCAUGUGUAGCGGUGAAAUGCGCAGAGAUAUGGAGGAACACCAGUGGCGAAGGCGACUUUCUGGUCUGUAACUGACGCUGAUGUGCGAAAGCGUGGGGAUCAAACAGGAUUAGAUACCCUGGUAGUCCACGCCGUAAACGAUGAGUGCUAAGUGUUAGGGGGUUUCCGCCCCUUAGUGCUGCAGCUAACGCAUUAAGCACUCCGCCUGGGGAGUACGACCGCAAGGUUGAAACUCAAAGGAAUUUGACGGGGACCCGCAAAGCGGUGGACAUGGGUUAAUUCGAAGCAACGCGAAGAACCUUACAAUCUUGACUCCUUGAACC